GGGUGAGUAACGCGUAGGUAAUCUACCCCAGAGUUUCGAAUAACCUGCCGAAAGGCGGGCUAAUACGAGAUAGAGCGACGGAAUCCGUAAUUGGGUUUUUCGGGAAAGGGAGCUUGAAAGAGCCCUCGCUCUAGGAUGAGCCUGCGUCCCAUUAGCUAGUUGGUGGGGUAAAAGCCUACCAAGGCAGUGAUGGGUAGCUGGUCUGAGAGGAUGAUCAGCCACACUGGAACUGAAACACGGUCCAGACUCCUACGGGAGGCAGCAGUGGGGAAUCUUGCGCAAUGGACGAAAGUCUGACGCAGCAACGCCGCGUGAGUGAAGAAGGCCUUAGGGUUGUAAAGCUCUGUCAGUUGGGACGAAAAUGCAUAGAGUUAAUAGCUAUAUGUACUGACGGUACCAGCGAAGGAAGCACCGGCUAAC
rnacentral:rRNA from 1 species